rnacentral:tRNA from 1 species
GGCCGGCUAGCUCAAUUGGUCAGAGUCUCAGCGUUACAGGCUGAUGGUUGUCGGUUCGAGUCCGACGCCGGCCA